GUUAGCAGUGUCCCUGUCAGCUUAACCCAAAAUUGCUUCUGGCACUGUUGUUCAUAGCUAUUGUUUUUUUCUAAGUCAUCAAGUCUUGAUAUUUAAUUUUAUAGACCCACUGUGAUGAUGACAUUAUCAACUUGGAUGACGAAGUGGUAAGCUAUCAAUACAAAUGAAGAGAUCAUACAUAGCAUUUCAUAUUAUUGAGCCAUACAUUUAUGAUUUUAUUUCAAAUAUAUCUGAUGUGAAUGACCCAGAAAUGUUUUACAGGCAUCUGGUGAUGUGCAGCCAUCACAUUUGGAGAGUAAGGUUGCUUGUCCAUUGUGCAGUCAACUAUUUACAAAAGACGACAUCUAUGUGCAUGCAAGUGUCUGCGGGGAGAGCAACACAAAUGAGGGAGAUGCAGAUAUUAGUGAGGACACCGAUGAGCACUUCGGCAG